rnacentral:lncRNA from 1 species
CAAACAGCAUCUCCUGGAUACCUGUGUCGACCAGAGCUGUCACCACUCUGCCACUCCAUGCCAGCCAAGUGUCUCCUGGCCUCCCCACCCCCAGCUGCUAGGCACCACAGGCACAUCAGACAUGAUGCAGUGGCUGCCCCAGGAGCCCCAGGCCGGCCUGAGUACCGAGAGUUGUCCCCCACGCUGUGCAGUCCCCCCUCUGGCUGGAGAGCUCAGAGUCAAUACCAUCAAACGCCACGCACAUGGUCAGUGAGUAUCAUCAGCUCAGGGGACUCGGAGCCCUCGAGGACAAGGCUCUCGGAGGUGCUGGAGGGAGCCGGAUGUGGCGGGAGGAGGUCUUCUUCUGAGACCUUGAGGUGGUCGCUGCCUGUCCAGUGUCUGUGCAGCCUCACCUAUCUAUAAAUGGGCCACGGGGCUCCUGAAGGCUA